rnacentral:rRNA from 1 species
AAAUUGAAGAGUUUGAUCAUGGCUCAGAUUGAACGCUGGCGGCAGGCCUAACACAUGCAAGUCGAGCGGUAGCACAGAGAGCUUGCUCUCGGGUGACGAGCGGCGGACGGGUGAGUAAUGUCUGGGAAACUGCCUGAUGGAGGGGGAUAACUACUGGAAACGGUAGCUAAUACCGCAUAACGUCGCAAGACCAAAGUGGGGGACCUUCGGGCCUCAUGCCAUCAGAUGUGCCCAGAUGGGAUUAGCUAGUAGGUGGGGUAACGGCUCACCUAGGCGACGAUCCCUAGCUGGUCUGAGAGGAUGACCAGCCACACUGGAACUGAGACACGGUCCAGACUCCUACGGGAGGCAGCAGUGGGGAAUAUUGCACAAUGGGCGCAAGCCUGAUGCAGCCAUGCCGCGUGUGUGAAGAAGGCCUUCGGGUUGUAAAGCACUUUCAGCGGGGAGGAAGGCGGUGAGGUUAAUAACCUCAUCGAUUGACGUUACCCGCAGAAGAAGCACCGGCUAACUCCGUGCCAGCAGCCGCGGUAAUACGGAGGGUGCAAGCGUUAAUCGGAAUUACUGGGCGUAAAGCGCACGCAGGCGGUCUGUCAAGUCGGAUGUGAAAUCCCCGGGCUUAACCUGGGAACUGCAUUCGAAACUGGCAGGCUAGAGUCUUGUAGAGGGGGGUAGAAUUCCAGGUGUAGCGGUGAAAUGCGUAGAGAUCUGGAGGAAUACCGGUGGCGAAGGCGGCCCCCUGGACAAAGACUGACGCUCAGGUGCGAAAGCGUGGGGAGCAAACAGGAUUAGAUACCCUGGUAGUCCACGCCGUAAACGAUGUCGAUUUGGAGGUUGUGCCCUUGAGGCGUGGCUUCCGGAGCUAACGCGUUAAAUCGACCGCCUGGGGAGUACGGCCGCAAGGUUAAAACUCAAAUGAAUUGACGGGGGCCCGCACAAGCGGUGGAGCAUGUGGUUUAAUUCGAUGCAACGCGAAGAACCUUACCUGGUCUUGACAUCCACAGAACUU